ACGGAGCUAAUUAAUUAACCUAUUUUGGGAAUCGUAUUCUCCGGUAUCCGUCGUCUGUUUGAGCUCCUAGUCCUAGCACUUUUGGAGCUGCGUUGCACGGUGAUUUUUCCGGGUUGACCAGGACUAAAACUGGGUUGUAAUGUCUUGUACAAUGCAACAAAAUCAAUAACUAAACAUUCACAUUCUUUAAAAUUGCACAAACGUUCAAAAAUUGAGAGGAAAAAUUGUAUGAAAACCUUUCAAAAAUUCAAGAAAAUAAUUUCACUUCAAACUGUCAACUAAACAACUCGCGCUUUGCAACGCCUACCGCGAUCGAAGCUCCGCCCUCCGGCCAAACUUCGCUUGCGCGAGCCGAGCCGAACGCCAAACAAACCAGUCGUGCGCAUGCGCGUAGCAAUCGUAGCAACCCGACAACGUAGCAACCGUAGCAAUAAACAACCGAAAAGUUAUAAAUAGGGGUGGCUACCCAGCAACCGCCAAUUGAGUCCAACUGAUCAUCAUGAACGGAGGUAUGCUGCUCAAUUUUUUCCGAAUAAUUUUUCGGUCUUUUUUUCAGGCCCAAAUGGACUCAAAUUUCACUCCGGACCAAGAUUCGGAUGUAGAAAUGACAAAUUUAAGGAAUAAUUACCUCGAUGUGGCCACUGAGGCCACCGUUCAAGAAUGGUUCGGAAUUAUCAACGAAAUUCGCCGGAAUUCGGUGCUUCCGGGCCCGAGAUCGCUUGCGGAACUAGCUUUCGCGGCGAUUUCGGUCCCGGAACCACUGGCAGGUAUCAGAAUUCGUAUUUUUGAACCAUCUGUGGUGUUUCCGGGACCGCGAUCGCUGGCGGAAUUAGCCUACGAUGCGAUCCCGGUUCCGGAAUCAUCGUCGGAUGACUUGAGCAACUUUUUCGAACAAUCUGCGGUGGAUCUGGAAACGGAUCCACUUGCAGUUCCAAAUUCAAUGUGCAAUUACUUUAAUUCAAAUCUUUCGGAAGAAUCUGUGGUGGAUCCGACUCCGUCGGGUUCACUAUCGGAUAACCAAAUUCAAAGUGUUAUUAUUGAUUUGGAACCAACUGCGGCAGUUCCCAAUACGGAAUUGCCAGCAGAACCAAAUUUCAAAGUUAAUGUAGAUUGUAAAUAUUUUUGGUGUUACGAUUGUCGCAGUCCCAGGAACAGUUUACCCUGGACCUUGAGACUGCGAUAUUCCAAAUUUUCAAUGAUUUCUAGAUAUUUUUCUUUUAUUUUCGUUUGUAUUUUAGUUGCGUUUUUGUUUGUUUUUAGUUUCUUUUAGUUAAAUUUUCCUCUCUUUAGUUUGAUUUUGGACCAACUUCAAAAUUUUGUAGUGACCUUUUAGUUUGUAGAAGCGACCUGAGUACAGUUUGUUUGGAUAUUUGGUUGAUUUUUCACUUAAAUUUGUGCAUUUUAAUACGAUUUUUGAAAAAUAUUUGAAAAAGUUAAAGCCAACUUGGUAGAUUUUCUUUUUUGCUUUCGAAAACAACCAAUUUUGAGCUCUUUCUGUAUGGUGUGAAACCCAUAUCAGACUAUAAACGAAAAUUUAAGUCAAAAUUUAGUUGCUUAUCAAAAUUAAAAGUUAAAUUUUCUGUACGGUGUAAAACCCGUCAUCAGACUGUAAACGAUUUCAUUUAGAUUUUUCAAAAAAGAAAAUCUUCCAAUUUGGUUUGCAAUCAAAAUUUUAAAUUUUCGUAUAGAUCUGUGCAAAUUUAAGUGAAAAAUCGGCCUUCAAAAUUUGUUAGGACUCUUUUAAGUAAGGAGUCCACAUCAGAAAGCUCCCCUUUUAGUUAAGUGUUGAGCUAUUUGGUGUGGGGGUGUGUGGUGGGCCAGUGCUCAGGUCGCGAAGCAAAUUCUUUUUAGUUUUUUUUUUUUUUUUGAUCAAAUAUAUUUACACUUAAUAAAAUAUAUUGCUUUUUAAGGAAUACAAAAGCAAAUUUGGAUCCAAACUGGCAUUCUUGCCGUUUGUUUAUUUUUUCUUGAAAUAUUUCUUUUUAAAUUGAAAAAAUCCAAGCGCGUAAAAAGAGUGUGCAUAUUUUAUCGAAAACUCUGGUGCAACAUUUAAAAAGCAUAGUAUUUUGAUAGCUGAAACUUUUUUUUUGAAAUUUCCGAGUCAACAGAAUCUUAAAAAUUUCGAAACAUAACAUCAAAAAUAAAAUUUGUAAAAUAUAAAAACAAAAAUGCAACAUUAAACAAUCCUUUCUGGAGGACAAGGGUGGCCACCCCAGCAAAAAAACCGGGAAAAAGACGCGUUUGGCCGACAAAAGUACGGGACGGAAUUCGGAUGAAACGCGAUCAAAAAAAAAGUUGCGCAUUCUUUUCGUUUUUUCGUUAUUUUUCCCAUUUUUUCCGCCAACUCACAUUUAGAUAAUUUAGAAUUGGAAAUUAAAUAUGAGAUAGGGGGUUGAAAAAUCAAGACACAGAGUGAAUUUGAUAAUGGACCAGCAGGUAGUUGAUCGCUGUACGGAUCCCGGUUCGGAUUAGUAUUCCUGGUAAUCGUUUCCCUUUUGGACUCGAUUCCUUUUUGAAACAAGGGGGAGAGGAUAAUAAAACUAUUCGACUAUAAUGAUCAAAUGGGAGUUCUUUACAAAAAAAAAGUUGGUUUAACAGAGAAGGGGGACAUGCAAAAUAACAAAACUUGGGUUUUCAGACAUGGCUGAGAAAGCAACAAACGAAAGAGUAAAAAGUGAGUAAAAAUUGAGAAAAAGUUAGUGUGAAAAGAGAGACAACAGUUUGAAGAAGACAAAAUUAAAAUGAAAAUCAAGUAAAGGUUGAGAAAUGCAAUAGUGAAACAGAAAAUUUAAAAACAGUAAAAUUCGACAGAAACGGAACUCGAAAUCACUAUACUAGUUUGAUUAUUGGAAACGCAACGGAUAUAGCAAAUAGCAGGUCAUUUAAAAAUAAAUAAAUAAUGCAAAUUUCAGUUUUCAGCCAUAACAUGAAAAGGAGGAAAAGAAUCAUGAGAAAAAGACAUUAAGAACUUAAGAGCUCUGGACUCGGAUAAAAUUUGAAUCAUCAACAAAGUCUUAAUUUGUAACUGCUAGAAGCUAAAGCAUGAGAUUUAAUUAUUCGAUAUAAAGAUGGAAAAGAGCAAAAGGACAAUCAAAUUGGAAACGAGCAAGAGGAACGGAAACAGCGUUCGCAAUUAACAUUAUUUUAAAUUUCAGCUGUGUAUUGGCAUUGGUAAAAAAUUACAAAUGAGCUGUUGUGUGGGGAGCGAAAGUACUUGGGGAGGGCAUCACACUGAUAAGUCCUAGACUCCACCUUGAUGCUACAGAAGGACAAUAGAAGGAUUAGUGUUAGUGCCUGCUUCAGUCGAUUGUGAGCGGUGGGGCCGAGCGCUUGCCUUACAGAACUAUUCGUGUCUUGAGCGUCAUUUAUUUUUUUUUCUAGAUUGGUUGGUCCUUUUGUGGUUUUGUAAUCUCAAUUAAUUGUUUUGUGAUUUUAAAAGUCUUUCCUAUAUCGUCGUUGAUCAGAAGGCAACGGCGUCGGAUAAAUUGUGCAUUAAUUUUUCGAAUAAUGUGUUAAAUUUUCUCAGUGAAAAUGUAAUUUCUAUAGAAUUGUUUAUCGAUUGACAUUUUGAACCGUCGAGUGAAGAAUAGAGAAGAGCAAAAUUUUCAUUUAUCAUUUAUUACACACAUACAUAUAUUGAGUGUUUUAGUGUGUUAACCAGAAGAGCAAUUCUCUACAAAAUCGAUCUUAUUUUUUUAAUUUAUUUUUUUUGUAUUUUUUUAAUUCGGCUAAAUUUUUUUUGGUGCCUUUGGUAUGCCCAAAGAUGCCAUUUUACAUCAUAAGUUUGUUCAUAUAAUUUUCCAUACAAAUUUGGCAGCUGUCCAUACCAAAAUGAUAUAUGAAAAUUCAAAAAUCUGUAUUUUUGCAAGGAAUUUUUUGAUCGAUUUGGUGUCUUCGGCAAAGUUGUAGGUAUGGAUAAAGACUACAUUGAAUAAAAAUGAUACACGGUAAAAAAAAUGGUGAUUUUUAAUUUCACUUUUUGUCACUAAAACUUGAUUUGCAAAAAAAAAACACUAUUUUUAUUUAUUUUUUUCUGAUAUGUUUUAGGGGACAUCAAUUGCCAACUUUUCAGAAAUUUUCAGGUUGUGCAAAAAAUCUUUGACCGAGUUAUGAAUUUUUAAAUCAAUACUAAUUUUAAAAAAAAUCGAGAUAUUGAUCGCCAAAAUUUUUCAACUUCGUUUUUCGAUGUGAAAUCAAAUUUGCAAUCAAAAAGUACUGUAGUGAAAUUUUGAUAAAGUGCGCCGUUUUCAAGUUAAAGCCAUUUUCAGGUAACUUUUUUGAAAAUAGUCGCAGUUUUUCAUUUUUUAAAUAAGUGCACAUGUUUGCCCACUUUUGAAAAAAAUAUUUUUGAAAAGCUGAGAAAAUUCUCUAUAUUUUGCUUUUUUGAACUUAGUUGAUACGACCCUUAGUUGCUGAGAUAUUACAAUGCAAAGGUUUAAAAACAGGAAAAUUGAUGUUUUCUAAGUCUCGCCUAAACAACCCACAAUUUUCUAAUGUCAAUUUUCAAUUUUAAAAUAUGAAACAUUCGUGAAAUUUUCCGAUCUUUUCGAAAACAAUAUUUCGACGUGUAUCAACAAUGUUCAAAAAAGCAAAGUAUAGAGAAUUUUCUCAACUUUUCAAAAAUAUUUUUUUCAAAAGUGGGCAAACAUGUGCACUAAUUCUAAAAAAAGGAAAAAUGUUACCUAAAAUGGCUUUAACUUGAAAACGGUGCAUUUUAUCAAAAUUUCACUAAAGUACUUUUUGAUUGCAAAUUUGAUUUUACAUCGAAAAAUGAAGUUGAAAAAUUUUUGCGACCAAUUCUUCGAUUUUUUGAAAAAAUCAGUACUGAUUCAAAAAUUCAUAACUAUAUUAGGUCAAAGAUUUUUUGCACAACCUGGAAAUUUCUGAAAAGUUGACAUUUGAUGUCCUCUAAAACAUAUAAAAAAAAUAAAAAUAAAAAUAGUGUUUUUUUUUUGCAAAUCAAGUUUUAUUGACAAAAAGUGAAAUUAAAAGUCACCAAUUUUUUUUACCGUGUAUCAUUUUUUUUUCAAUGUAGUUCAUAUCCAUACCUACAACUUUGCCGAAGACACCAAAUCGAUCAAAAAAUUCCUUCAAAAGAUACAGAUUUUUGAAUCUUCAUAUAUCAUUAUUGUAUGGACAGCUGCCGAUUUUGUAUGGAAAAUUAUAUGGACAAACUAAUGAUGCAAAAUGGCUUCUUUGGGAGCGUUCUUUUAUUACGUAACGCAGUUGGGGGGGGGGGUCGGAGGCCGUGUUACGCUCCAUACAAUUUUUUUUUAAAUUUGUAUGGAAAUUUUGUUACGAUGGGGGGAGAGGGUCUAAAAAUCCAUUUUUUGCGUUACGUAAUAAAAGAACGCUCCCUUUGGGCAUACCGAAGCCGCCAAAAAAGUUUUAGCCGGAUAAAAAAAUUCAAUAAAAAAUCGAAAGACCGAAAUCUCAGAAAAUUGUUCAGAAAGACCUUCCCAUAGCAUCGUUGCUCGGAGGGCUCGCCGACGGGUCUAUUAUGAAAGUCCUCUCCAUAGCAUUUUAUCUCGAAAGUCAUCGAAAAGCCAACACCUUAUGCUAUUAACCCAAGAAAAACUAAUCCCGUGAUGCUUGAAGGAGAUGCUGUGGAUUCAACGGUCUCAUGCGGUAUCAACAGGUUCAUAGCGAAAAAAUAUGUGCCAGAUGAGUCGGCAACUUCAACUAUCGGACUAACAUUCCUCCCUUUCGUUGGACUGCAGGCUUCUUGGGAGGCGCCGGUAUUGACUAAUAAAGACGGGAUCUUCAGAGGUUAAACAGUGAACCGAUGAUUGGCUUCCACUUAUCAUUUUUGAUUCAUUGGUUAACUUCAGCUGAUCUGUCAAUAACGGAGUAGCAACUCAUUGUAUCACCUAUCAGUACAGUGAAACCUCUUUUGACGCGGUGCGUUACGUUUUUCUUAUUUGUCGAUUUCUCUGGAACGACGCAACAUUUUUGCAAUCUUUUAACAGCAGUUUGUAGGUUUUGUUUAGAUCUACAAAACGCUUUUUGCAGGCCAAGGGUGUAUGAUACUGAUGAUACUCGUCGGUUGACACCCAGGCGAGGAACAUCCCGGAAGGAGCCCAACUACAUCCGUAGUGCUGUUUGGACGAAACAGCAUGGCUCUGGUUCCUUGCAAGUGUCCUAUUUUCUUACCUCCACGUUGGCUUGGUUUAGUCAUCAUGAUGACAAGGUGUAACCUAGCUGGUGGCUUGUGGAAACGACUCGUAAACCUUUGACCAGUGAGGGUCAGAGUGGAGACGGCUAAAAGAAAGGGGCGCGUCAAUGUGGGAAAGGGAAGUAAUUUGUGAUUGUAGACGGUAUUGUUUUGAUUCGCAGUAUGUUGAGUCAACUGCUGUGGAUGUACCUGAGCGUCGCAGAACGGGGUUUCUUUUCUUUCCAUUUCAGCUAACAGCUAUCUUCUGUUUAUUUCGUUUCACUGAUUUUCUAAAACGGCUUCUGUUUACUAUCCUCCAUUUGAUUUCGAUUUUACUUAUUUGAUUCUCUUA